rnacentral:rRNA from 1 species
GGGUUGUAAAGCUCUUUCGUCGGGGAAGAAAAUGACUGUACCCGAAUAAGAAGGUCCGGCUAACUUCGUGCCAGCAGCCGCGGUAAUACGAAGGGACCUAGCGUAGUUCGGAAUUACUGGGCUUAAAGAGUUCGUAGGUGGUUGAAAAAGUUAGUGGUGAAAUCCCAGAGCUUAACUCUGGAACUGCCAUUAAAACUUUUCAGCUAGAGUAUGAUAGAGGAAAGCAGAAUUUCUAGUGUAGAGGUGAAAUUCGUAGAUAUUAGAAAGAAUACCAAUUGCGAAGGCAGCUUUCUGGAUCAUUACUGACACUGAGGAACGAAAGCAUGGGUAGCGAAGAGGAUUAGAUACCCUCGUAGUCCAUGCCGUAAACGAUGUGUGUUAGACGUUGGAAAUUUAUUUUCAGUGUCGCAGGGAAACCGAUAAACACACCGCCUGGGGAGUACGACCGCAAGGUUAAAACUCAAAUGAAUUGACGGGGACCCGCACAAGUAGUGGAGCAUGUGGUUUAAUUCGAAGAUACGCGCAGAACCUUACCAACACUUGACAUGUUCGUCGCGACUCUAAGAGAUUAGAGUUUUCGGUUCGGCCGGACGAAACACAGGUGCUGCAUGGCUGUCGUCAGCUCGUGUCGUGAGAUGUUGGGUUAAGUCCCGCAACGAGCGCAACCCUCACUUUUAGUUGCCAUCAUUAAGUUGGGCACUCUGAAAGAACUGCCAGUGAUAAGCUGGAGGAAGGUGGGGAUGACGUCAAGUCCUCAUGGCCCUUACGUGUUGGGCUACACACGUGCUACAAUGGUAUCUACAACAGGAAGCAAGACUGCGAAGUUAAGCAAAUCCCUAAAAGAUACCUCAGUUCGGAUUGCACUCUGCAACUCGAGUGCAUGAAGCUGGAAUUACUAGUAAUCGUGGAUCAGCGUGCCACGGUGAAUGCGUUCCCGGGUCUUGUACACACCGCCCGUCACACCAUGGGAGUUGGUUCUACCUUAAG